CAUUGAAUCUUUGAACGCAGCUUGCGCCCGCAAGGGCAUGUAUGUUUGAGAGUCACUAGUAUUCUUCCGCAAGGAGAGUUGAGCAAAGUUGGAGACAACUUGCUCUAAAGUGAUCG
rnacentral:rRNA from 1 species